rnacentral:rRNA from 1 species
CCUACGGGUGGCUGCAGUGGGGAAUAUUGCACAAUGGGCGCAAGCCUGAUGCAGCCAUGCCGCGUGUGUGAAGAAGGCCUUCGGGUUGUAAAGCACUUUCAGCGGGGCGGAAGGCGGUGAGGUUAAUAACCUCAUCGAUUGACGUUACCCGCAGAAGAAGCACCGGCUAACUCCGUGCCAGCAGCCGCGGUAAUACGGAGGGUGCAAGCGUUAAUCGGAAUUACUGGGCGUAAAGCGCACGCAGGCGGUCUGUCAAGUCGGAUGUGAAAUCCCCGGGCUCAACCUGGGAACUGCAUUCGAAACUGGCAGGCUAGAGUCUUGUAGAGGGGGGUAGAAUUCCAGGUGUAGCGGUGAAAUGCGUAGAGAUCUGGAGGAAUACCGGUGGCGGAGGCGGCCCCCUGGACAAAGACUGACGCUCAGGUGCGAAAGCGUGGGGAGCAAACAGGAUUAGAUACCCCAGUAGUC